UCCUCAGUAGCUCAGUGGUAGAGCGGUCGGCUAUUAACUAACUAGUCGUAGGUUUGGAUCCUAUUUGAGAAG
rfam:Hordeum vulgare subsp. vulgare, WGS project CAJW01000000 data, contig: morex_contig_40697